GAUGAACGCUGGCGGCGUGCCUAAUACAUGCAAGUCGAGCGAACAGACGAGGAGCUUGCUCCUCUGACGUUAGCGGCGGACGGGUGAGUAACACGUGGAUAACCUACCUAUAAGACUGGGAUAACUUCGGGAAACCGGAGCUAAUACCGGAUAAUAUAUUGAACCGCAUGGUUCAAUAGUGAAAGACGGUUUUGCUGUCACUUCUAGCUGGAUACGCGCCGCAUUAGCUAGUUGGUAAGGUAACGGCUUACCAAGGCAACGAUGCGUAGCCGACCUGAUAGGGUGAUCGCCCACACUGGAACUGAGACACGGUCCAGACUCCUACGGGAGGCAGCAGUAGGGAAUCGUACGCAAUGGGCGAAAGCCUGACGGAGCAACGCCGCGUGAGUGAUGAAGGUCUUCGGAUCGUAAAACUCUGUUAUUAGGUAAGAACAAAUGUGUAAUUAACUAUGCACGUCUUGACGGUACCGAAUCAGAAAGCCACGGCUAACUACGUG
rnacentral:rRNA from 1 species